UACGGAGGGUGCGAGCGUUGUCCGGAUUCACUGGGCGUAAAGGGCGCGUAGGCGGCCGAGUCAGUCGGCUCUUUAAGAGCGGGGCUUACCCCCGUUAUGGGGUCGGGACGGCUUGGCUGGAGCGCGGUAGAGGGAGACGGAAUGCCGGGUGUAGUGGUGAAAUGCGUAGAGAUCCGGAGGAACACCAGUGGCGAAGGCGGCUCGCUGGACCUGACCUGACGCUGAGGCGCGAAGGCGUGGGGAGCGAACGGG
rnacentral:rRNA from 1 species